AGAAAAUAGAAAAGUAGCGUUUAAAAUAUUUUAAAAAUUUUAUUUUCAAUGCGUGACCUGGUAAUCAUAGGCUCAUUUUUUCAAAAAAUGAAAUAAAAUAAAGAAAUAUUGUUUUUUGAAAGUACUUACGUCAUUGCUUGGUAGAUGCUUUCAAUUCCGUAUCGCAUGGCAAAUUCGUCAACGAGUUCUUCACCAGGAGGGUCAAAAUAAACCUUCCAAGCGUCGUCGCCUCUGGCUUGAGGUAAAGUCACCAUUCCACUGUUUCCUUCGCAAAGGCUGUGGAAGAGGUUUUCGUGAAGGCACGUGUAUUGGACAUGGUUGUACCAGACGUCCAUCUCACCACUGAGAGUUCGAACCUCGAUGAUGGUUUGACCCAGGAAGUCAUCACUCUCCCUCGUCAAUUUCUGCCUCAAUUUUGACUUUAAGUCGUUAUCUUCAUCCCACACACGGACUUUUAUUCUGUCCGAUGAGUUGUGGCACUCGCUGAAAUUUCAAAAUUAGACUGGAUUCAACUCCUGUGGCAUCGUUUUCGUUCGUUUCUUCACUUUUCCUACUUGAACUGUGACAUAUGGAUCGGAAGUUCCACUCUUAUCCUUGGCAAUUAGUCCUUGAGCGCAGAUCACUGUUAAAUUCAUAAUUAACAAAUUAAAUAUUUUUCUUUUAAUUUCAAAUAUGCCUCGAAAAUUCCGAAAAAUACCAGGCACAGAAUAAGGCGAAUGUAGAUGAUAGAAUAUCCACUAAUCUCCACUAGUUAUACAUUAAUUUUGAAAAU